AUUGAACGCUGGCGGCAGGCCUAACACAUGCAAGUCGAGCGGAGCGGCGGACGGGUGAGUAAUGCCUAGGAAUCUGCCUGGUAGUGGGGGAUAACGUCCGGAAACGGGCGCUAAUACCGCAUACUAUCAGAUGAGCCUAGGUCGGAUUAGCUAGUGGGGGGGGUAAAGGCCUACCAAGGCGACGAUCCGUACCUGGUCUGAGAGGAUGAUCAGUCACACGGGAACUGAGACAGGGUCCAGCCGCCUACGGGGGGCAGCAGUGGGGAACAUUGGACAAGGGGCGAAAGCCUGAUCCAGCCAUGCCGCGUGUGUGAAGAAGGUCUUCGGAUUGUAAAGUACUUUAAGUUGGGAGGCGUUACCAAAAGAAAAAGCACCGGCUAACUACGUGCCAGCAGCCGCGGUAAUAC
rnacentral:rRNA from 1 species